UUCUUCUGUGGGAGCUAUAAAAGAUAUCAGGGUGGGGAUGCGGCUGUGCCUAACCCUAACCCUAACCCUAAC